rnacentral:rRNA from 1 species
UACAGAGACUGCAAGCGUUAUUCGGAUUCACUGGGCGUAAAGGGUGCGCAGGCGGCGGUUCGCGUGGAUAGGUGCAAUCUCCUGGCUUACCUGGGAGGAUGGUAUCCAGACGGGAUCGCUUGAGGGUCGGAGAGGGGCGUGGAAUUCCGGGUGGAGCGGUGAAAUGCGUAGAGAUCCGGAGGAACACCGACGGCGUAGGCAGCGCCCUGGACGACACCUGACGCUGAGGCACGAAAGCUGGGGGAGCGAACAGG